UCCUCCUUUCUGAAGAACUGUAAUGCCAUUAAUUUGGUGUUGCAGGGAAACAGGACUGUUACUUUGAAAAAAUUAGAGUGUUUAAAGCAGGCUAACGCUUGAAUACAUUAGCAUGGAAUAAUGAAAUAGGACGUUCGAUCCUAUUUUGUUGGUUUCUAGGAUUGACGUAAUGAUUAAUAGGGAUAGUUGGGGGCAUUAGUAUUCAAUUGUCAGAGGUGAAAUUCUUGGAUUUAUUGAAGACUGACUACUGCGAAACCUUUUGCCAGGGUUUUUUUCUUUAUUCAAAACCAAAGUUUAGGGAAUCAAAAACAAUCAAAUCCCGCCUUAUUCUUACCCUUAACCAAGCCCAACAAGGGAUCGGAUAAGUUUAUUUUUUUAUGGAUCCAUUCGCCCCCUACCG
rnacentral:rRNA from 1 species